ACUCCUACGGGAGGCAGCAGUGGGGAAUAUUGCACAAUGGGCGCAAGCCUGAUGCAGCGACGCCGCGUGGGGAUGACGCCUUCGGGUUGUAAACUCCUUUCGCUAGGGACGAAGCUUUUUGUGACGGUACCUAGAUAAGAAGCACCGGCUAACUACGUGCCAGCAGCCGCGGUAAUACGUAGGGUGCGAGCGUUGUCCGGAAUUACUGGGCGUAAAGGGCUCGUAGGUGGUUUGUCGCGUCGUCUGUGAAAUUCCGGGGCUUAACUCCGGGCGUGCAGGCGAUACGGGCAUAACUUGAGUACUGUAGGGGUAACUGGAAUUCCUGGUGUAGCGGUGAAAUGCGCAGAUAUCAGGAGGAACACCGAUGGCGAAGGCAGGUUACUGGGCAGUUACUGACGCUGAGGAGCGAAAGCAUGGGUAGCGAACAGGAUUAGAUACCCUGGUAGGCGUAGU
rnacentral:rRNA from 1 species